rnacentral:rRNA from 1 species
UCGAGGAUCUUCGGCAAUGGGCGCAAGCCUGACCGAGCGACGCCGCAUGUGGGAUGAAGGCCUUCGGGUUGUAAACCACUGUCAGAGGGGAUGAAAUGCCAUAGGGCACUCUCUAUGGUUUGACAGAUCCUCAGAGGAAGGGUGGGCUAAGUUCGUGCCAGCAGCCGCGGUAAGACGUACCACCCAAACGUUAUUCGGAAUCACUGGGCUUAAUGAGUCCGUAGGCGGCCAAGAAAGUUGGGUGUGAAAUACCUCAGCUCAACUGAGGAAUUGCGCUCAAAACUACUUGGCUCGAGAAAGACAGAGGUGAGCGGAACUGAUGGUGGAGCGGUGAAAUGCAUUGAUAUCAUCAGGAACACCGGUGGCGAAAGCGGCUCACUGGGUCUUUUCUGACGCUGAGGGACGAAAGCUAGGGGAGCGAACGG